rnacentral:rRNA from 1 species
UGGGGGAUAUUGCACAAUGGGCGAAAGCCUGAUGCAGCGACGCCGCGUGGGGGAUGAAGGCCUUCGGGUUGUAAACUUCUUUUGCUCUGAACAAGGCGCACCAUGGGGUGUGUUGAGUGUAGGGGUUGAUUAGCGCCGGCUAACUACGUGCCAGCAGCCGCGGUAAUACGUAGGGCGCGAGCGUUGUCCGGAAUGAUUGGGCGUAAAGGGCUUGUAGGUGGCUGGUUGCAGCUGUCGUGAAAGCUCAUGGCUUAACUGUGGGUUUGCGGUGGGUACGGGCUGGCUUGAGUGCAGUAGGGGAGGCUGGAAUUCCUGGUGUAGCGGUGGAAUGCGCAGAUAUCAGGAGGAAUACCGGUGGCGAAGGCGGGUCUCUGGGCUGUUACUGACACUGAGGAGCGAAAGCAUGGGGAGCGAACAGG